rnacentral:rRNA from 1 species
GACGAACCGUGCGAACGUUGUUCGGAAUCACUGGGCUUAAAGGGCGCGUAGGCGGACCAUCAAGUCGGGGGUGAAAGCCCGAGGCUCAACCUCGGAACUGCCUUCGAUACUGCGGGUCUCGAGUCCGGGAGAGGUGAGUGGAAUUCCUAGUGUAGAGGUGAAAUUCGUAGAUAUUAGGAAGAACACCAGUGGCGAAGGCGGCUCACUGGCCCGGUACUGACGCUGAGGCGCGAAAGCGUGGGGAGCAAACAGG